GGAGCAGCCCAGAGCCUGAAUCAGUGUGUGUGUUAGUGGAAGCGUCUGGAAAGGCGCGCGAUACAGGGUGACAGCCCCGUACACAAAAAUGCACAUGCUGUGAGCUCGAUGAGUAGGGCGGGACACGUGGUAUCCUGUCUGAAUAUGGGGGGACCAUCCUCCAAGGCUAAAUACUCCUGACUGACCGAUAGUGAACCAGUACCGUGAGGGAAAGGCGAAAAGAACCCCGGCGAGGGGAGUGAAAAAGAACCUGAAACCGUGU
rnacentral:rRNA from 1 species